rnacentral:rRNA from 1 species
CUACGGGGGGCUCCAGUGAGGAAUUUUGCGCAAUGGGGGGAACCCUGACGCAGCAACGCCGCGUGAGUGAUGAAGGCUUUCGGGUCGUAAAGCUCUGUCAAGUGGGAAGAACCUAUGCAGUGUUAAUAUCACUGUAUACUGACGGUACCACUGAAGGAAGCACCGGCUACCUCCGUGCCAGCAGCCGCGGUAAUACGGGGGGUGCAAGCGUUAUUCGGAAUCAUUGGGCGUAAAGGGCACGUAGGCGGCUUGGUAAGUCAGAUGUGAAAGCCCGGGGCUUAACCCCGGAAGUGCAUUUGAUACUGUCAGGCUUGAGUAUGGGAGAGGGAAGUGGAAUUCCUGGUGUAGAGGUGAAAUUCGUAGAUAUCAGGAGGAACACCGGUGGCGAAGGCGACUUCCUGGACCAAUACUGACGCUGAGGUGCGAAGGCGUGGGUAGCAAACAGGAUUAGAUACCCGCGUAGUC